AUCCUCACCUAUUCUUGGUGGGGCCCAGGCCUAUGGUCCCACUCCUCAUUAUGUACAGGAUUAGAAGAAAAGGGCUCUGAACCUCUUGGCAUCAUGUCUUUGGUGCCUGUGGCCUCCCGUCCACCAGUUAUAACCUCAGACAGUAGGACACUA
ensembl:snoRNA